rnacentral:rRNA from 1 species
GUCCACGCCGUAAACGAUGGAUACUAGCUGUUGGGGCAACUUCAGUGGCUAAGCGAAAGUGAUAAGUAUCCCACCUGGGGAGUACGUUCGCAAGAAUGAAACUCAAAGGAAUUGACGGGGCCCGCACAAGCGGUGGAGCAUGUGGUUUAAUUCGAUGAUACGCGAGGAACCUUACCAAGGCUUAAAUGUAGAUUGACCGGUUUGGAAACAGACUUUUUGCAAGACAAUUUACAAGGUGCUGCAUGGUUGUCGU